rnacentral:rRNA from 1 species
GGAUUAGUGGCGAACGGGUGAGUAACACGUGGGCAAUCUGCCCUUCACUCUGGGACAAGCCCUGGAAACGGGGUCUAAUACCGGAUACAACCACUGCAGGCAUCUGUUGGUGGUGGAAAGCUCCGGCGGUGAAGGAUGAGCCCGCGGCCUAUCAGCUUGUUGGUGAGGUAACGGCUCACCAAGGCGACGACGGGUAGCCGGCCUGAGAGGGCGACCGGCCACACUGGGACUGAGACACGGCCCAGACUCCUACGGGAGGCAGCAGUGGGGAAUAUUGCACAAUGGGCGAAAGCCUGAUGCAGCGACGCCGCGUGAGGGAUGACGGCCUUCGGGUUGUAAACCUCUUUCAGCAGGGAAGAAGCGAAAGUGACGGUACCUGCAGAAGAAGCGCCGGCUAACUACGUGCCAGCAGCCGCGGUAAUACGUAGGGCGCGAGCGUUGUCCGGAAUUAUUGGGCGUAAAGAGCUCGUAGGCGGUCUGUCGCGUCGGAUGUGAAAGCCCGGGGCUUAACCCCGGGUCUGCAUUCGAUACGGGCAGACUAGAGUGUGGUAGGGGAGAUCGGAAUUCCUGGUGUAGCGGUGAAAUGCGCAGAUAUCAGGAGGAACACCGGU